rnacentral:rRNA from 1 species
GAUGAACGCUGGCGGCGUGCCUAAUACAUGCAAGUAGAACGCUGAAGCUUGGUGCUUGCACCGAGCGGAUGAGUUGCGAACGGGUGAGUAACGCGUAAGUAACCUGCCUCUUAGCGGGGGAUAACUAUUGGAAACGAUAGCUAAUACCGCAUAAAAGUCGACAUCGCAUGAUGUUGACUUGAAAGGUGCAAUUGCAUCACUAAGAGAUGGACCUGCGUUGUAUUAGCUAGUUGGUGAGGUAACGGCUCACCAAGGCGACGAUACAUAGCCGACCUGAGAGGGUGAUCGGCCACACUGGGACUGAGACACGGCCCAGACUCCUACGGGAGGCAGCAGUAGGGAAUCUUCGGCAAUGGGGGCAACCCUGACCGAGCAACGCCGCGUGAGUGAAGAAGGUUUUCGGAUCGUAAAGCUCUGUUGUAAGAGAAGAACGAGUGUGAGAGUGGAAAGUUCACACUGUGACGGUAACUUACCAGAAAGGGACGGCUAACUACGUGCCAGCAGCCGCGGUAAUACGUAGGUCCCGAGCGUUAUCCGGAUUUAUUGGGCGUAAAGCGAGCGCAGGCGGUUAGAUAAGUCUGAAGUUAAAGGCUGUGGCUUAACCAUAGUACGCUUUGGAAACUGUUUAACUUGAGUGCAGAAGGGGAGAGUGGAAUUCCAUGUGUAGCGGUGAAAUGCGUAGAUAUAUGGAGGAACACCGGUGGCGAAAGCGGCUCUCUGGUCUGUAACUGACGCUGAGGCUCGAAAGCGUGGGGAGCAAACAGG